rnacentral:rRNA from 1 species
GCAAGUCGAACGGGAUUUUUACUUCGGUAAAUCUCUAGUGGCGAACGGGUGAGUAACGCGUGGGCAACCUGCCCUUUAGUUGUGGACAACAUUUCGAAAGGAAUGCUAAUACCGAAUGAGCUUCAUUAGCCGCAUGGCUUUUGAAGGAAAGAUGGCCUCUUUACAAUGCUAUCGCUAGGGGAUGAGCACGCGUUUGAUUAGUUAGUUGGUAGGGUAACGGCCUACCAAGACGAUGAUCAAUAGCCGGUCUGAGAGGAGGAAC